CGGUGGAGCAUGUGGUUUAAUUCGAAGCAACGCGAAGAACCUUACCAGGUCUUGACAUCCCGAUGCUAUUUCUAGAGAUAGAAAGUUACUUCGGUACAUCGGUGACAGGUGGUGCAUGGUUGUCGUCAGCUCGUGUCGUGAGAUGUUGGGUUAAGUCCCGCAACGAGCGCAACCCCUAUUGUUAGUUGCCAUCAUUCAGUUGGGCACUCUAGCGAGACUGCCGGUAAUAAACCGGAGGAAGUGGGGAUGACGUCAAAUCAUCAUGCCCCUUAUGACCUGGGCUACACACGUGCUACAAUGGUUGGUACAACGAGUUGCGAGUCGGUGACGGCGAGCUAAUCUCUUAAAGCCAAUCUCAGUUCGGAUUGUAGGCUGCAACUCGCCUACAUGAAGUCGGAAUCGCUAGUAAUCGCGGAUCAGCACGCCGCGGUGAAUACGUUCCCGGGCCUU
rnacentral:rRNA from 1 species